GCUGAUAACAAUAGUUGAAAUGUAAAUCAGAAUAAAAUCAAUUCAUUUGAAGUAAAAUAAAUUCCAUUAUACUUUAUUUUGACCAUAUGAUCAACACUUGUACAUAGUGCCAUUUACUUUGUGUUCUUCACUCUCGCGUUGUGUUUUGAUCGUUCGAAACUCAUUGCCAGAACGAAUGCAAAUUUCAUUUGGAAAGGAUCGGUGCCGGAAGAUGCAGCGAAAAUUAUAAAAUGUUUAUAGAAAAGUGGUUAAGUAAAUCAUGAAAGAUGUCAACGCAGGCGUAAAUGCAGUUUGUUUUGUUACUUGAUCUACGGCUGUUUCAUCACCAAAGCUCCUGAUAACAGAUCAAAGCAGAUGGAUAGGGCAUACAGAGUUGCAGUUCAAUUUAAAAUAUCUUCGUGAUCGGAAAACGCAUCCAACCGCAAGUGUUUUUCUUCCAACAGCACGCGCCAUCGGUGGAGCAAGCAGCCAACGUUUCGUUCGUCUAGCACGCACCAUCAUGAAUUGAAAUAUUCCCGAAUAGCUCUGUGAACUGCACACUUACUGUCCGAAUUUCCUAGAAUUUUUUGAUCGGUCUACGCUCGCGGGAAUGGUGGGUUCGUUGAGGAGAAGGAAAGAAAGGGUGGGAGCGAGGAUUAACCAAAAACGCGGCAUUGAGAAUGAGGGGAGGUGCGCUCAGCGCUCACGCUGGGACACUCACGAUGCUUGAAAUAAAAUGUUAACAAGCAUCGAUUUCAAGCAUGCAUGUCGCGCGACAUUUUGCCAAGCGGGCACUUG